GACGAACGCUGGCGGCGUGCUUAACACAUGCAAGUCGAACGGAAAGGCCCUGCUUUUGUGGGGUGCUCGAGUGGCGAACGGGUGAGUAACACGUGAGUAACCUGCACUUGACUUUGGGAUAACUUCAGGAAACUGGGGCUAAUACCGGAUAGGAGCUCCUGCUGCAUGGUGGGGGUUGGAAAGUUUCGGCGGUUGGGGAUGGACUCGCGGCUUAUCCGCUUGUUGGUGGAGUAGUGGUUUACCAAGGCUUUGACGGGUAGCCGGCCUGAGAGGGUGACCGGGGACAAUGGGACUGAGGUACGGCCCAGAAGCCUAUGGGACGCAAUAGGGGGGAACAUGGCACAAUGGGGCGGAGUCUGUGGUAAAAACCCCCGGAUCGGGAAGACCGGCUUUGGGGUGAAAACCGCUUUCGCCGGUGACGAAGCGUGAGUGACGGUAAUGGGUAAAGAAGCACCGGCUAACUACGUG
rnacentral:rRNA from 1 species